rnacentral:rRNA from 1 species
GCACAAGCGGUGGAUGAUUGUGGUUUAAUUCGAUGCAACGCGAAAACCUUACUACCUUUGACAUGUACGGAAUCCUUUAGAGAUAGAGGAGUGCUCGAAAGAGAGCCGUAACACAGGUGCUGCAUGGCUGUCGUCAGCUCGUGUCGUGAGAUGUUGGGUUAAGUCCCGCAACGAGCGCAACCCUUGUCAUUAGUUGCUACAUUCAGUUGGGCACUCUAAUGAGACUGCCGGUGACAAACCGGAGGAAGGUGGGGAUGACGUCAAGUCCUCAUGGCCCUUAUAGGUGGGGCUACACACGUCAUACAAUGGAUGGUACAAAGGGUCGCCAACCCGCGAGGGGGAGCCAAUCCCAUAAAGCCAUUCGUAGUCCGGAUCGCAGUCUGCAACUCGACUGCGUGAAGUCGGAAUCGCUAGUAAUCGUGGAUCAGAAUGUCACGGUGAAUACGUUCCCGGGUCUU